rnacentral:rRNA from 1 species
UACGUAGGGUGCAAGCGUUAAUCGGAAUUACUGGGCGUAAAGCGUGCGCAGGCGGCUUUGCAAGACAGAUGUGAAAUCCCCGGGCUUAACCUGGGAACUGCAUUUGUGACUGCAAGGCUAGAGUACGGUAGAGGGGGAUGGAAUUCCGCGUGUAGCAGUGAAAUGCGUAGAUAUCAGGAGGAACACCGAUGGCGAAGGCAGGUCUCUGGGCUGACACUGACGCUCAUGCACGAAAGCGUGGGGAGCAAACAGG